GAACCCGCGACGUUUCGUUUCAGAAGGUUUUCGGGACACAAAUACACAACACACAAGAGUGGACCAAAGAUUGGAUCAAAGAAAAAGAAAAAAAAAAAAAAAGAAACGAUCGCGGACAAAUAAGCGUAAUAUCGUGGAGGAGCCUACGAAUACUCCUUUGAUCCAAUGUCCGAUCCUGAGGGAGGAUCUGGUGCAGACAGUAGGCGAGACGUGCCGAGGAUCAUUGCUGAAGAACAAUCGAUAUAUCGCGUGUGAUGACAGCUGUCUCGUGAACAUUCCAUUUGCUGUCCUGUGUAAAACGUUUUGUGUAUAUGGGUAUAAUAUACACGAUUAUAUAAACACAUCCAUAUAUACACACGAUGAUAUCGUACAUGACGUGCGUUACGAUCACCUGUGUGACAGUUUUUGGGGAGAGAGUAGGGUGAUGACGAUUCGGCCGUUGAUUUGUAUCGGUGGGACACGCUGGAUGAGCGAUCGUGUGACAAUCUACCCACGAAAACUGGAAAUGGAACUGGACCAACGUUCUUUGUUUUACAGAGUGGUAGGAAAAAAAAAAAAUAAUAAAUAAAUAAAACUUCCGAUUCAGAAUUUUGAGAAUCGAUGGUACUUGACAAAUGAAAUGGAGAGAAUUGUUUAACAAAUGCGAAUAAUUGAAAAAAUAAUAUUUUUAAAAAAUUAAAUAUAUAAUAAAGCGGAAAGCAACCGAUAGGAUGAUACGGAAAUAGAAUUCCACGCGUCCUUUUAUGUUCCUUUUCGGUCGAAGACCGUGCCUCACGAUGAUCCAUUUCCAAUACCAGCAAAAGUGAAUGAACGCAUUAAUGAAAUACGGUACAAUUUAAUAUUACUCGGAUACUCGACGCAUCGAUCACUGAGAAUGAACGAGGCGAAUGCACGGGGAAUUUCAGCAAGCUUAUGCUCGAUAGGCUAUCUAUGAGUAUUGUAUCUCGCAAAGUAUCCUCGAUAAUCCGUUUAAUACGUAACUUAUUAUUCUUUGUUUAUCCACAUAUAUAUAUAUAUUAUGAAUUAAAUCUCCGAUGUGAAUAGAUUAUAUCGCGAUAUAAACAUUACGAUAAGAAUGGAAUAAGAAAAAAAAAAAAGAAAAAUUACAAGUAUACAGAGUUAACAUUUAUUUCUCUCUGAUAUAGUGGAACGUGAAAAAGGUGAUUAAACAGUCGGAUCUUUUGGGCUCGUUGGUGCGCGACAAGUUCCGUCUAAUUUAAAUUCAAAAGGCUAUGGAACAAGGUUUUGUUCAACCGGAUCCAAGAAGAAAAUCAAAGCAAAAACUUCGUUCUAAUGUAAUUACAAUGGCCGGGUAAUUAAGGGCCGCGGAAUUCAUUUAGUGACCUUUUGGUAUUUAUAAAUGAAGCUAAUUCAACUUGGCUUUUAAUGUUGAAACAAAGAAUGACGAGAUCCAAGUGGAUCAUGGCCGAG